GCGGGGAGAGGCACCAAUCAGCGACGCCGACGGAGAUCGUCUCCGCCAGUGAAAUCCGAGCUGGGCGGCGAGGAUGCAAAUGUGACCGCCAACCUUCUCCCAAAGCAGUCAAACCGCAGAGCAGGAGCCCCUCAAAGCUAGAAGAGAUAUUCCUUACUGGAGAUCUAAACCUGGAGAUGUCCUACAUGAUAAAAACAAAACUUUCUGGGACACAGGAAGAGUGGAAUAAAGAAAAAAAAAAAAA